AUGAAGCUGAGAGUUUGAUCCUGGCUCAGGACGAACGCUGGCGGCGUGCCUAACACAUGCAAGUCGAGCGGUCCGGCACUCAACUAAGUGCUUACUUAAGGGGAAGGAAGUAUAGUAGAAGAAGAAGGUAAUAAAAGUGAAGCAAAGUAAGGUAAGCACGGAGUUGAGUGCCGGAUAGCGGCGGACGGGUGAGUAACGCGUGGGCAACCUACCCUUAAGACCGGGAUAACACCUCGAAAGGGGUGCUAAUACUGGAUAAGCUCCUUGUAGGGCAUCCUAUGGGGAGGGAAGGUAGCGGA
rnacentral:rRNA from 1 species